rnacentral:rRNA from 1 species
GACGAACGCUGGCGGCGUGCUUAACACAUGCAAGUCGAGCGGUAAGGCCUUUCGGGGUACACGAGCGGCGAACGGGUGAGUAACACGUGGGUGAUCUGCCCUGCACUUCGGGAUAAGCCUGGGAAACUGGGUCUAAUACCGGAUAUGACCUCCUAUCGCAUGGUGGGUGGUGGAAAGAUUUAUCGGUGCAGGAUGGGCCCGCGGCCUAUCAGCUUGUUGGUGGGGUAAUGGCCUACCAAGGCGACGACGGGUAGCCGACCUGAGAGGGUGACCGGCCACACUGCGACUAAGACACGGCCCAGACUCCAACAGGAGGCAGCAGUGGGGAAUAUUGCACAAUGGGCGAAAGCCUGAUGCAGCGACGCCGCGUGAGGGAUGACGGCCUUCGGGUUGUAAACCGCUUUCAGCAGGGACGAAGCGCAAGUGACGGUACCUGCAGAAGAAGCACCGGCUAACUACGUG